GACGAACGCUGGCGGCGUGCCUAAUACAUGCAAGUAGAACGCUGAAGGAGGAGCUUGCUCUUCUGGAUGAGUUGCGAACGGGUGAGUAACGCGUAGGUAACCUGCCUGGUAGCGGGGGAUAACUAUUGGAAACGAUAGCUAAUACCGCAUAAGAGUAGAUGUUGUAUGACAUUUGCUUAAAAGGUGCAAUUGCAUCACUACCAGAUGGACCUGCGUUGUAUUAGCUAGUUGGUGGGGUAACGGCUCACCAAGGCGACGAUACAUAGCCGACCUGAGAGGGUGAUCGGCCACACUGGGACUGAGACACGGCCCAGACUCCUACGGGAGGCAGCAGUAGGGAAUCUUCGGCAAUGGACGGAAGUCUGACCGAGCAACGCCGCGUGAGUGAAGAAGGUUUUCGGAUCGUAAAGCUCUGUUGUAAGAGAAGAACGAGUGUGAGAGUGGAAAGUUCACACUGUGACGGUAUCUUACCAGAAAGGGACGGCUAACUACGUG
rnacentral:rRNA from 1 species